rnacentral:rRNA from 1 species
UACGUAGGGAGCAAGCGUUGUCCGGAAUCAUUGGGCGUAAAGCGCGUGUAGGCGGUUACAUAAGUCUGGUGUGAAAGUCGGAGGCUCAACCUUCGAAAGCCGAUGGAUACUGUGUGACUUGAGUACGGAAGAGGAGAGUGGAAUUCCUGGUGUAGCGGUGAAAUGCGCAGAUAUCAGGAGGAACACCAACGGCGAAGGCAGCUCUCUGGGACGUUACUGACGCUGAGACGCGAAAGCGUGGGGAGCAAACAGG